rnacentral:misc_RNA from 1 species
GAUGAAGAACGUAGCGAAAUGCGGUAAGUAAUGUGAAUUGCAGAAUUCAGUGAAUCAUCGAAUCUUUGAACGCACAUUGCGCCCGCCAGUAUUCUGGCGGGCAUGCCUGUUCGAGCGUCAUUACAACCCUCAGGCCCCCGGGCCUGGCGUUGGGGAUCGGCGGAAGCCCCCUGCGGGCACAACGCCGUCCCCCAAAUACAGUGGCGGUCCCGCCGCAGCUUCCAUUGCGUAGUAGCUAACACCUCGCAACUGGAGAGCGGCGCGGCCACGCCGUAAAACACCCAACUUCUGAAUGUUGACCUCGAAUCAGGUAGGAAUACCCGCUGAACUUAAGCAUAUCAAUAAGCGGAGGA